AUACGUAGGGUGCGAGCGUUGUCCGGAAUUACUGGGCGUAAAGAGCUCGUAGGUGGUUUGUCGCGUCGUCUGUGAAAUUCCGGGGCUUAACUCCGGGCGUGCAGGCGAUACGGGCAUAACUUGAGUACUGUAGGGGAGACUGGAAUUCCUGGUGUAGCGGUGAAAUGCGCAGAUAUCAGGAGGAACACCGGUGGCGAAGGGGGGUCUCUGGGCAGUAACUGACGCUGAGGAGCGAAAGCAUGGGUAGCGAACAGGAUUAGAUACCUUGGUAGUCCAUCCCGUAAACGGUGGGCGCUAGGUGUAGGGGUCUUCCACGACUUCUGUGCCGUAGCUAACGCAUUAAGCGCCCCGCCUGGGGAGUACGGCCGCAAGGCUAAAACUUAAAGGAAUUGACGGGG
rnacentral:rRNA from 1 species